GCCCCCCGUCUAUCGUCCGGACGACCAGCAACGGCGACACUCGACGGUAGCGAGCUGUUGGUAGCGGAACUCGGCAGGAUCGGCCGAGCGUUCGACCUACCCGGCGGCCGACAGAGGACCAGAGAGUCCCGGGUGGCGGAAAACAAAAAGGGGGGGCGACAAUCAGCCAAACUGUGGUGGCCACCGUGCGAGUCCGGCCGGCCGAGCAAGACGGAAGCACGCUAUCAGGCGUCCUUGGAGCGUGGUUGGAGCGCGCAGGAACGCGCUAGGUUCCUCUGGAGCCUGCAGCAGUCGGUGGCCGCGACCGGCAGCCGCGGCGGCGGCAGCUUCUUCCUCCAACCGAGCAAGUCUUGGCUCGCGGACACCGUCGGCGCCGAGGGGCCACGUUCCUCCAUCACCACGUAUUUUCACUCGUACCCGUUCGUCCCGGGUGGUGCGGUGUCCCUGCCUCCGCCACUGCUGAACAGUAUUAACAACGCGGCGGCAGCAGCGAUCACCCCCGGCCUGGUCGGACACCUUUUCGGCGGUCAGCAAGCCUGCAGUCUCGCCUGUAGCUGCACCUGCACCAACAUCGCCAACUGCACCCCCCACCACCACCAACAUCACCAUCAUCAGCAACAGCAACAGCAACAUCACCAUCACCACCAUCAGCAGCAACAGCAUCAUCAUCGGCCCAUCGGCGCUACGGUCCUCCUGCAACCGGUCGAGCACAUCAAAGACACCAUGGUGAGUGUCCCGGAAUUCCAGUACGCUCGAGGGACGGCCGCGUCCCUGACGAUGAGGGGUAGCGACGAGCUUCUGUCGCAGAGCGGAACAGUUAGCAAUGGUGCUGCAAUGAGUCCUCAACCACAUCACGCGGCCGACAACAACAAUGACGCCAAGAAGGUUAAACUCGACAAGAGCCACAAUAGCAAACCUUCGAGAGUCAUUCAUAUCAGAAACAUCCCGAACGAGGUGUCGGAUGCCGAGGUCGUCCAUCUUGGUACACCAUUCGGUCGCGUUACUAACGUCCUCGUUCUCAAAGGCAAGAAUCAGGCGUUUUUGGAACUGGCGGAUGAGAAUUCUGCAGCAACGAUGGUGGGUUACUACGGCACUUGCAUCGCUCAGCUCCGUGGCAGAAUAGUCUACGUCCAAUUCAGCAAUCAUCGGGAGCUCAAGACGGAUCAAACACACACCAACAACGCGAACUCGAACAACCAAGUUGCAAUUCCUGGACAGAAUCAGGUGGGGCAGGCGGAGACUCAAGGGGGACCGAACACGGUUCUCAGAGUUAUCGUCGAGCAGAUGGUGUACCCCAUUUCCUUGGAAGUGCUGUAUCAGAUAUUCACACGGUUCGGCAAGGUCCUGAAAAUCGUCACCUUCACCAAGAACAGUACCUUCCAGGCGCUAAUACAAUACGCGGACAUGCUGUCGGCGCAAACUGCUAAACUCUCACUGGAGGGCCAGAACAUCUACAAUUCCUGUUGCACACUGCGCAUCGACUACAGCAAGAUGCAGAACCUGAACGUGAAAUACAAUAACGACAAGUCGAGGGACUACACCAACCCGACGCUGCCGACCGGUGACGCGAAUUUGGACGCUGCAUCGCUUGCACUUGGAGGUGAGCUUCUUCCACAGUUGCUGAUGGGUGCUGGGUCACAGCCACGCGCUAGAAUACCCGUAGAGUCCAUUGCAGGGGCACCGGGUGUGCUGCCCACGCCCUUUGCUGCCAUGCACGGCCUGCCCUCGCCCUUGGCGGGUCCCUACAAUGGGGUACCACCCGCUGGAGGCCUGGCUGGACUCGGCGGUUUCCCUCUCGGAGCGGCAGGCCUCGGGGUUCGUGUGCCCACCAACGCGCAAACCUCCGCCGUGCUGCUCGUCAGCAACCUGAACGAAGAGAUGGUCACGCCUGACGCUCUCUUUACCCUGUUUGGCGUUUACGGGGAUGUACAGCGUGUGAAGAUUCUCUACAACAAGAAGGACUCGGCACUGAUUCAGAUGGCCGAACCCCAUCAGGCACACUUAGCAUUGACACACAUGGACAAGCUGAGAGUGUUUGGGAAGCAGAUCAAAGUGAUGCUUAGCAAGCAUCAAACUGUUCAGUUGCCGAAGGAGGGACAGCCAGACGCGGGUUUGACGAAGGAUUACACCAACAGUCCCCUUCACCGAUUCAAGAAACCAGGCUCGAAAAAUUAUCAGAACAUCUACCCACCGAGCGCAACCUUGCAUUUAUCGAAUAUUCCUAACACUGUAACCGAGGAGGAGAUCAGGGAUGCUUUCACUAAGAACGGAUUCACCGUGAAGGCUUUCAAGUUCUUCCCGAAAGACAGGAAAAUGGCCCUCAUACAGAUGCCUAGCAUGGACGAUGCUGUUACUGCUCUGAUCAAAAUGCACAACUACCAGCUGAGCGAAUCCAACCACCUGAGAGUAUCAUUUUCCAAGAGCAACAUCUAACAAGAGUCGCAAUCAAACGACCGGCAGUGGUACCAGCCCUACGCCCUAGUCCCCUUUUGGUCACCCGGCGCAGUGUACGACUGAUGAUCCUUGCGAUGGGUCCAGUCCGUUGCUCAUCCGUUCCUACAAAGGCUGCAACCUCAUUGACUGGCCACCACCACCACCACCACCACCGCCGCCGCCGUUCUAUCGUGCUUGGUACGAGCGUACCAGAGAAACAAACUAAAAUGAACAGCAACGCAGCAUGACAGAGAAAAGCGAAAGGAAGCCGACACCGCCGAGCUUGUUGGUCCCCGGAUUUCGGGGCCCGGACGAACCACCACGACUACGAGUACUUUCCGGCCCCUCCCGGGAGUACAAUACUGUGUAUCCAUUUCUAUGUUUUUCUUCUCAUUCGAUCACGAACAGAGACACGCUGCGUAAGGGUUUUCCACGCAGGACUCACGGCCUGGAAACAGAAAACAAAAAUGGAUUAGGGCUGCGCAACGGAGGAACCGCGAACCAGGUUUACGGGUUGGGAUUGAUGUUAGAUGGGCUAUACAGAGUGGGGAGGGAGUGGGGGUGGGGAUGGGGGGGGGAGGACGAGGAGGAUCGGGUUGACCGAAAGUAAAGCGGCGUCGCGGACUCUGUAUUCAGGAACCGGUGCUGGUUUUCCAGGCGGCGCGAAAUAAUGAAUGACCCGGGGUACGAAACGAGCGAUUUAAUUGAAAGCCAGAACCGUUCAGAGAGAAAGAGAGAGGGGAGAGCACCGAAGCUCGUGUCUCCCGCGUCUAACGAAAGAGAGACACGUGCGCGCGCGCCCGCGCUCGACGUGUGCGCGCGCACACGCAUAUAUACACACACGAGUAUUCUGAAGGGAGGAGGGAGAGACCUAGGAUUAAAAAAUGGGUACGAAGGAGGGACUCGGUCGAAGAGCCCCUCGGCUCUUGUACAGAGUUUAUCUUUAAAGUAUAAGGUAUAUAUAUAUUAUAUAUAUAUACAUAUAUACAGAUAUAUAUAUAAAUAUAUAUUAUAUAUUUUACAAGCGUGACGCUAGCCGACCGAUGGCCGAGCGAGAAAAAAAAAGUACAUCUUGAAACCGAGUAACGAUGUUAAGGAUUUUUAAAGUUAAACAAACAAACAAACAAAAAAAAAUACAAUAUGAUAUGAUAUGAUAGAAGAAAAACGGAUCUGGGACGACCGUUCGAUCGAUCAUUGGAUCACGCGUCUUUGUUAGCAUGUAAGUGAAAAAUUGUCGACGAGUUUUUCAGUCGGCGCAUAAGCCACGUGCACAGUCUAGGACAAAAACAAGGAGGUAGCAUGAAUGAAAGUAGGGGGUACCCGACGAUGAUCGGCGACGGCGAUGAUUGUGACGAUGACGAGAUGACGACGGUGGCUUCGCGAUCGUCGGGUACCAAGGUCUAAUUUGUUAGGGCUGAUUGUGAACGGGACCCUUGGCAGUUUAUCCGCGAGCUGCUCGCGCCGUUUCAUUCUGGGCCCACUCGCCGUCUGCCCACCUGCGGCGCGCGAAGACGGGGCCCCGGGGAACGACGCGAGCGUUUUAUCGAGGUUUUCUCGCGCCACGCGUCGCAGCCGGUGCUUCUUCGUGGGCCACCCGAUUCUUCUAUAUGCGUUUUCUCCUUCGAUCUAUAUAUUAUAUAUUUUUCUGUUCUCCUCCUGAAAGUGUACCUUCAGUAUUCUCGGCGGCCCGCUGCCUCGACGGGGGCUCGGCCGUCGACCAUUAUCGGGUUCGAUCGUGUGUUUAGCUCGACUGGCCACGUGGCGGGAUCGUUGACGCUGUCGUACGUCGUUGCGGGUGGUAUUUUUAUAAUUUGUAUGUUCGACGAUAAGUAUUAAUCACACGCCGUACACGCGACACGCGACAUUCAUACACACAUACACACAGAGACAGAGACAGACACGAGAGUUCGCACAGAGAGACACGGACAUUUAUGUACACACAGAGACAGGAACACAGAGACACGGAGAGAGAGUGAAACACGAUACACACACAGAUACACACACACAGAGACGCAGGUUUCUUAGCUGAUAGGUGCUUAGGAUUGUGUAGAAUCUUUAAUCGUAAUUAAAUAAGGGUCACACCACACGUAUAUUGACAAGGAGAAGGGAGUGAACCGUUAAACAUAUCGCUAAUUAAACAAACAAACAAAAAAAAAAGAUAAGAGCUAGAUGUGAAACGAGUUUGUACAUGCGUAGAGGAGAGGGGGGACUCUGUAUCAGUGGGGGGGAAUUCUGGAACGCCUGGAUGACGACGGUUCGACCUCGUUUACUUUUCCAUCCGGCUGACGAUUAGUUCCUGAUCUCCAAGCAUUCCUGUCGACAUGGCGGCGCGAAGAGGGCGCCCGCCCCCGCUAGGGUGACGCUUAGCCUGAACCCAAGGUCAGGGGAGCGGAGAGGCUAACAGUUCGGGGAGGUCUGUUGUGUUUUUGAACGAUGUUGAACUCGCCGGUGUCGCGUACCACGAUAAAUCACGAUGAAAAACUCUAUGAUACACGUAGCCGUUACACUGCAGAGCGUAAAUAUAUUAUAUAUGUAUAUAUAUAAAUAUAUUAAUGGAAACCAGAGGAGUGGCCCGAGGGGACGCUUGUAUCUGGCCGACGGGGAGGAGAGGGGCUGCUUUCCCGGCGCCCCCCACGGACACGGACAUUAACGCGAAACAUACUCGAGACUAUGGCGGAGAGCUGGGGCCCGGUCCUCGCGCCACCGGGCGAGAAAUAAAUUAUCAGUAGUGUCGUAGCGUCGUGAUCUGAACUGGCCCUCUGUCGGUGGCGUCGCGACGCCGCGUCCGUCGCGUUCGUUCCGUUCGUCGGCCACCGAGGACGUCUUAUCAAACGCGCCGGGGCAGCGUCGUCGCGACGCGACCACGGACGCCCGGAAAAGUUUCUGUCUACUCGACGUUCUGUUGGAGUCAAUUAAAUCUUAUUAAAUAUACGUAUCGACCGUGUGUAGAGAUUGGUAGCGGAGGGAAAUGCGCGUGAAAGUGGCGUGGCGAGAAUGGAUGGUGUGCGUGCGAGAGAGAGGACCGUCGAGAGAGUGCUAGUGACGGAGCGAGUGCUGUUGCGUGAGCCAGAGAGAAAGAGACUAAUGCGACUCGAAGCGAUGUGAGUGAAACAGAUAAACAGAAGAAGAAAAAACUACAAAAAAAUAUAUUUAACAAAGCGAGUGCCGGCCCGGGCAGUGUUGUUUGUGCCAAAGUAGGCUAGCCGUUAAUUCUAGGGUGGGGUCUCUCCUUCAGCCGACAGGAUUCGGCGCCUGGCGACGGCUUUCGGGUCUGGCUAUUGGGGUCCUUCAGAUUUUGGGGUUUGCCGGAUCCUCCGGCAUUCGUCCGGGUGCUGAAGACACUUCUGACGACUGUCCAUUAUCCCCUAACCUUGCUGGCAAUUCUGGCGACCAGGUCCACAUAGUCCUUUCAGCAAUCACAUAAAGUCUGGUUGCUGCUCUAGCAUCUUUCCCGACCCAAACAAGACUCCAAGCUGACUUACAGGUCCUGAUGACACUCCUGGCAUCCCCUGUUCCUGAUCACUAGCAAGUCCACACAUAGUUCUUCCAAUAAUCAUCUAGAGUUUGGCAGCUCUUCUAGCACCUAUCCAAAUCAAGAUAACACUUCUAGCUACCACCCAGAUCCUGACAUCUUAACUGAUGUCAGGAUCCUAACACUCUUGACAUCUCCUACAGUCCAGAUGACACUCCUAACGUCCUUUAAUCCUGGCGACCCUCCUAGCCAGCUCCCAAUAGUUCUCCUAACGACCACCUGCAGUCUGAUAGCUCUUCUAGCACCUAGGGCUCGAUGACCCCCUCUAUCUUUUGGCAAAGGCAGAAGCGUGAAGUUCAGCUCGCCGGGGGCCAGUUCGUGGAUGGCUGGGGAGAGUGAGAAUCGACCAAUCAGUAGAGACGUAGCGAGUAGCCGGCAUGAGCGAAGGGGCCAGUCUUUGCAUCUAUGAUCUGUCUUUCGAAUCUCCGAUAUAUUUACAUUAUUUAAUCCGAUGACUGCAUUUAUAGACUCUACCGAGACAAGGAGGGAAAAGCGUCCGUCGUGCGAGACGCUGACUCGUCACACGUUCACACCGGGUACACACGUACACGACACGUUCACGUUAUUUUCGGUUCAGGGACACUUUUCCGUGACUUCCUUGGGAUAGGCUUGUUUCUCCAGCGAUCGUUUGACACUCGACGUCGUCCGAGCGGACGCCUCGGUCCUCUUUCCGACGUCGUGAAUCAUUUUGGAGACUGGGCGCGGCUUGUACGGAUCGCGCGUGGUCCGCGAAAUAAUUCUCGCAUUCGAAGAAAGGACUCCGGCGUGUCCGCUCGGACGUCGAUGUUUGGAAUUCAUUGCCUCGCAGUGCGUCCUCUACUUUAAGGUUCUCCUUUUAAGUAUUAAAACAGGCUCUUUCAAUUGUCCCGCGCUGACCGCCACGAUACAGCACAAAAGGAAUCGCGUGGGGGGGAGUCUUGUUCGGCGCUAGGGAACCAGUUGAAGGCCUCCCGCACAAUAGUAUUUCCGGCACAAUGUCUCGCAAGCGUACCUGAAAUGCCUGUAAACGCCGCCAAACCGACGUCGAGCCGACGGUGUGUUGUCCAAGCGACCCGAGGCCCGUCGUCCGGCGUUACCAUUCUGCGUUGAUUCUUAUCUAGGAGCUUUUCUCAACACAUUCCCAGUUCACACCUGAUCGAACACACGCGACACAGAGACACACGCGCGCGCGCACAGACGCCCGUUCUUUCGUACAAUCGUUUUCAGUCCAUGUUCUUUUCUGAUCGUUUAGACAAUUCGUCCGACAUAGUUCCCGAAACCGAACAGAUCUUCACGUUCAUUGCGACGACAAUGAUUUUCCUCUUCUUUCUGAUUUCCGCCAAAAACAAAAAAAAAGAUAGAUUUCUAAACGAGGGACAGUAGUGAAAGCUUUAAAGAAGAAAAAAAAAGAUAAUCAAUUCGGUGAAUCAAACGGGCCAGCCGUACCGGGUUGUAGAUUAUCCGCAGGGUGUCAAACAUGCUCCAACAUCCGGUCCGAUAACGUUUCAACAAACAUCUCGACACUUCCUUCGGAACAUUUUCGAACGAAUAAUCUCGUUUCACGGUACAGCAGCAAUUUCUGAUUUUCGAAUCGGUAGAUUUCGGUGACGCGCAGAGGUCCCCGGGCUCGCUCGGGCACGUCGUGGCUCGAGGUGGCACCCUGCGGACGAUUUAGAUUGAGUAUAUCAUUAGCUGGGUUGAGGGGGGCCGAUGUGAGGGUUGGGAUAGCCAGCACUCGCUACAUGGUGUCGCGGAUACUCAGGCUCCGAAAUUUCUCCAGACCAACGUAAACUCCUUUGCGAAAUUCUAGAAGAGUUGUUCUAAUAUUAUAGAUGUAUACAUAUUCAACGUAACUUCCUCAUAUAGACGACGUAUUUUUAUAUACUAUAGAGACCAAAUGGCAAGACGACUCUCGAUUGCUCUGAUCGUUCGAAGUUCUAAAAUAGAUCCACGGCGGACAAAACGCUCCUUCCACACACCACCCUUUGCGGACGAUCGGUCGAUCGAUCGAUCGGAUCUGGUAGAUCACGCUCGGCUAUACUUGCGCGCGUCGAACAUCGCCAAACAAUCGGUAGCCGACGGAAUGACGGCCGGCAGGGUCGGACAUCCCUGUUCAGUGACCCCCCAGAGGAUGCGACAUGAAACUGUGACAAUCAAGCUAUCGGAUCUCGUCAAACCGCGUCGAAACGUUCCAAGUACAAAGUAUUCCCUGAGUAGCAGUCUACCAAAAGCGUACCAAAGUCAGCUAACGAAAGAACAGCGACGUCCGAGGUGUCCCCGGAGGGUCAGACACGCUGAGCAUGAUCGAGAAACGAUCCCCUUUCUUUCCGAGUCGAAUUAGGACGAUGCUGAAAACACCCGCGUAAUCGAGUCGAGCCCAAUCGUCGAAUGAAGCUAAACCUGAGCAAAAGGAAAAAAAUAAAAAUAAAAAAGAAAUGAAAUGAAUAAAACUGUUCGGACCAAGGAAAUUCGGGGUCUGGUUCGAGCCACGCAGUAGACGAAGCUUAGCCUACAGAGGUUAUUAGUCACUAUAGCGGUGAGACGUGACACACAUUAAAUAAGCACACGGCAUGUAUGUAAAGAAAACGGGUUCGUCGGAACCCGACGACACUACAGAGACGUACACGUAGAUAAAUAUUACACACUGUCACACACUACGUACACACACGGACAGACAUACACACAUACACACACAACGUAUAUCCCCCAUAUAAUACACCUACGAGCGUGCAUAUAUUACAUAUAUAUAUAAAUAAAUAUAUGUUCAAACACGUAUAUGUAUAUGUAUAUUUGGUAUAUCGCACGGUAAAUAGGUAUAUCUGAAAAAUGGGCGUGACUGCAUCUCUAUAAUCUAUAUUUUAUUAAUAACAGAUAAGUCUAGGGUUACCGAAGUUACGGAUUAUGUAAUGAAUUAGAUGAAAAGAUUAAUCUAUUAAUGAAUAUAUUGUAUAUGCGGUAUAUGCGGUAGGAGUACGAGGGAGAGAAAGAGAGCGAAAGAGAGAGAGAGAGAGAGAGAGAGAGAGAGAGAGAGAGAGUGGUAAGAGAGAAUGAUGGAGAAAUUGCGCCGGGGAGAGAAUCGAGGAUGCUGAAAGUCUGGUGAGAGUGAGACACCGCGUGUAGAUCAGGUUUAAACAAAAUUACUUAUCGGUAACUGUGUAAAAAUAUAUCGUUGGAAGUUCA